UACGGAGGGUGCGAGCGUUAAUCGGAAUUACUGGGCGUAAAGCGCGCGUAGGCGGUUUGAUAAGCUGGAUGUGAAAGCCCCGGGCUCAACCUGGGAACUGCAUCCAGAACUGUCUGACUAGAGUACAGUAGAGGUGAGUGGAAUUUCCUGUGUAGCGGUGAAAUGCGUAGAUAUAGGAAGGAACAUCAGUGGCGAAGGCGGCUCACUGGACUGAUACUGACGCUGAGGUGCGAAAGCGUGGGGAGCAAACAGG
rnacentral:rRNA from 1 species